AACUUUCUUACACCGAAUGCUUGCAUUCAUCGUAAGAAGUUGAGUGGCGGACGGGUGAGUAACACGUGGGUAACCUGCCUAAAAGAAGGGGAUAACACUUGGAAACAGGUGCUAAUACCGUAUAUCUCUAAGGAUCGCAUGAUCCUUAGAUGAAAGAUGGUUCUGCUAUCGCUUUUAGAUGGACCCGCGGCGUAUUAACUAGUUGGUGGGGUAACGGCCUACCAAGGUGAUGAUACGUAGCCGAACUGAGAGGUUGAUCGGCCACAUUGGGACUGAGACACGGCCCAAACUCCUACGGGAGGCAGCAGUAGGGAAUCUUCCACAAUGGACGCAAGUCUGAUGGAGCAACGCCGCGUGAGUGAAGAAGGUCUUCGGAUUGUAAAACUCUGUUGUUAGAGAAGAACACGAGUGAGAGUAACUGUUCAUUCGAUGACGGUAUCUAACCAGCAAGUCACGGCUAACUACGUGCCAGCAGCCGCGGUAAUACGUAGGUGGCAAGCGUUGUCCGGAUUUAUUGGGCGUAAAGGGAACGCAGGCGGUCUUUUAAGUCUGAUGUGAAAGCCUUCGGCUUAACCGGAGUAGUGCAUUGGAAACUGGAAGACUUGAGUGCAGAAGAGGAGAGUGGAACUCCAUGUGUAGCGGUGAAAUGCGUAGAUAUAUGGAAGAACACCAGUGGCGAAAGCGGCUCU
rnacentral:rRNA from 1 species